GCCCGCUCAGAAACUUAAAGGAAUUGACGGGACCCCGCACAAGCGGUGGAUCAUGUUGUUUAAUUCGAUGAUACGCGAAGAACCUUACCAGGUCUUGACAUCCCCCGCGAUGCUUUAGAGAUAAAGCGGAGGUAUUCGGGGAGACAGGUGGUGCAUGGUUGUCGUCAGCUCGUGUCGUGAGAUGUUGGGUUAAGUCCCGCAACGAGCGCAACCCUAUUGCUAGUUACCAUCAUUAAGUUGGGGACUCUAGCGAGACUGCCAGUGAUAAACUGGAGGAAGGUGGGGAUGACGUCAAAUCAUCAUGCCCCUUAUGACCUGGGCUACAAACGUGAUACAAUGGCUGGAACAAAGGGAUGCGAAGCAGUGAUGUGGAGCGAAACCCAUAAAAACAGUCUCAGUUCGGAUUGAAGUCUGCAACUCGACUUCAUGAAGUCGGAAUCGCUAGUAAUCGCGGAUCAGAACGCCGCGGUGAAUACGUUCUCGGGGUUU
rnacentral:rRNA from 1 species